rnacentral:tRNA from 2 species
GUUGAAGUGGUAGAAAUAAAUGCGUCGGAUUUAAGCUCCGGAAAUGGGGUCGGCCCCCUUUAACA